rnacentral:rRNA from 1 species
GACGAACCGAGCGAACGUUGUUCGGAAUCACUGGGCUUAAAGGGCGCGUAGGCGGGCUGUCAAGUCUGGGGUGAAAUCCCCGCGGCUCAACCGUGGAACUGCCUCAGAUACUGACGGCCUCGAGGGAGAUAGGGGCGAGCGGAACUAAUGGUGGAGCGGUGAAAUGCGUUGAUAUCAUUAGGAACUCCGGUGGCGAAGGCGGCUCGCUGGAUCUUUUCUGACGCUGAGGCGCGA